rnacentral:lncRNA from 1 species
UUUUCUGAUAUAUUGUGUCGUGUGGUUUCUGUACGCUUUUUUCUUUCUGUGCAUUAUUUCGGUUAACCCCAGUCGUGACUCGCGACUUCAUUGCUAUGUAUAUGUCACUUCUCCCUUCUUCAUCAGCUUUGUGCGCUGUGUUUUUGCCGUAGAUCCAUACGCCCCAGUGUGCCAUACUUCACCAGCUUGUCGGCUUCGGCCAACUCUAGCGAUGUGUGCGUUGUCUGUGCUCUCUCUGUAUUUGUUAUAAUUUAUUUGUAAGGCCUA